rnacentral:rRNA from 1 species
UACGUAGGGCGCAAGCGUUAUCCGGAAUUAUUGGGCGUAAAGAGCUCGUAGGCGGUUUGUCGCGUCUGCCGUGAAAGUCCGGGGCUCAACUCCGGAUCUGCGGUGGGUACGGGCAGACUAGAGUGAUGUAGGGGAGACUGGAAUUCCUGGUGUAGCGGUGAAAUGCGCAGAUAUCAGGAGGAACACCGGUGGCGAAGGCGGUUCUCUGGGAAUAUCCUGACGCUGAGGAGCGAAAGUGUGGGGAGCGAACAGG